GCUUUGUCUGGCUAGAGAAAAGCAGGCAGUGUGUGUGUUUGUGUGUGCAUGCGUGCAGGCCGGCGCUGAAGGGAUUGAAUGUCUGGGGCUUCAGGGCUCCCUUCCUGCCUCUAUCGUGAUAUCUCCAAGACGCUUGUCAAACUCAAGGAGAAGGGAGACGGAAGGGGAAAAAAACGCUUCGUACUUGGAUUCUGUGUGAUACUUCAAUCUGCCUCCUUUUGUGCCUCUUUCUGUCCGCUCACAAAGAGAGUUGCUAAUCCGGAGCUCAAAGGAGAGCUGGCUUUUCCUGUGUAAUUACAGACGCAACGCAACGCAAUUACAGCUGCCACACGGGAGAGAUGGAGGGAGAGAGAGAAAGUUAUGAGAAUCUACCGUCUGAAGCUAAAUAAAUAUUCCUUGACCCAAGGACUGUACUUGACAUGAUACAAGAUCAACGGUGAAGUGUUCAUUAGAGAAGUCCUUAUCAACCAGUGGAACGGAAGAAGAAUUCCUCACUACCAGCAGACUGUCAGAACAUAAUUUCUAAUAGUUAUCUAUGUGGGACUGAUACCAGUGUGGAAGAGCUGGUCACUUUUAAAAGACUUGGGGAAUGAUUGCCUUGCCAAUUGGACGAUUGAAUAUUAUUGUCUUCCUCCUAAUACAGGAUGUGGUAGGAAUCGUAAGCGACAUCAUCAUUACACAUGUCAAUACUUAUUUUAUCUAACGUUGUUAGAAAUCUAUUUCUUAUAGUAACAGCAAGUAGAAUAUGCCCUUUGUGUUUUAUAGAAAUGCAAGGUGUUUAAUGUGAAUGAUUUUAUGCUUACUGCAAAUGUUUUUUAUACCGUCUAUUUUUUCAUGUUUUCUAUUGUUUCUAAAAAUACAUUUUAAGUAUAUUUAUUUUGAAAAUGUUCUAGGGGGAGUGUAAGAAUAUUUAGAAGAUAAAUACACAAUGCAGAGGACGAGAGGUCAAUAGAGUACUAACUGUCAAGAGGACUAAAAGUCAAUAGAGUACUAACGAUCAAUGGAAAUAGUGUUUUUUCUGUAAUAGGGGAUUAAUGAUCAAUGGGUCAGAUACAUGGGAGGAAUUUCAGUCCGGGACUCAUAGCUACAUGGCAAGUUCUCGUUGGUCCAAAUUGUUUAUACAUUGAGCCUGAAAUAUGCUACUUGUUAUUUGGCCAUUGUCCCAGUUAAUUGCAAGGAAUUUUAAUUGGUCAACCACAGGCUAGGGUUGGGAUAUAAAACUACAUCCUGUCCCUUUGUUCUGUGGAGAGAAUCACUGAGUAGAGAAUAACUAAGGACAGGGGAGAAUGGGGAGAAUCUACCUCCCCGCAUGAUUUGUUCUCUUUGAAUAAACAAACCUAUUUUCCUCCCCCUGAUUUGCUUUGGGGUUUAUGUUAUUGAAGAGUAACAUCAACAGCUAACACAUGCGACAAAUACAACUGGUGUAGACUUUACAGUGAAAUGCUUGCUUACGAACCUUUCCCAACAAUGCAGAGUUUAAAGACUAAUAAUACACAAUUAAAUAGUAACUAACACAAGGGGAAUAAAAUAAAAUACACAAGAAUGGAGCUAUAUACAAGGAGUACCAGUACCAGAUCAAUGUGGAGCUAUAUACAAGGAGUACCAGUACCAGAUCAAUGUGCAGAGGUACAAGAUACUUGAGGUAGAUAUGUACACGAAGGCAGGGUAAAGUGACUACGCAUCCGGAUAGAGAGUAAUAAGAGCAAAAUAAAGAACAAAGUAGCAGCGGCAAAUGAUGUGUUUUACAAAAAGUGUAAAAGUGAGUGUGAUUGUGUGUAUGUAAGUUUGUGUUGUGUUGUGUCGGUAUGCGUGUGUGUGUUUUGAGUGUGUAUACAUAUGUAGUGUUUGAAUGUGUGAGAGAUUUGUGUGGGACUGACAGUGUGUGUGUGUGAGUGAGUGUGUAGAUGGUGUGUAUAUAAAAUUGAAUGAGUGUGCGUAGGGUCAGUGCAAGACAGAGUCAUUGUAGAUAGUUUGGGUACCAUUAAUUGACUAUUUAGCAGUCUUAUGGCUUGGGGGUAGAAGCUGUCUCGGAGCUGUUGGUCCGAGAGCCGAUGCUCUGGUACAGUUUGCCGGACGGUUGCAGAGUGAACAGUCUAUGGCUUGGUUGGCUCUAGUCUUUGGCAAUUUUUCGGGCCUUCCUCUGACAAUGCCUGAUUGAAAAUGAAUUACAGAACCCUGAGUCAAUACUUUGUAGAAGCACCUUUGGCAGCAAUUACAGCUGUGAGUCUUUCUGAGUAAGUUUCUAAGAGCUUUUCACAACUGGACUGUGCAACAUUUGGCCAUUAUUCUUUUCAAAAUUCUUGAAGCUCUGUCAAAUUGAUUGUUGAUCAUUGCUAGAAAACCAUUCUCAGGUCUUACCAUAGAUUUUCAAGUAGAUUAAAGUCAAAACUGUAACAGCCACUCAGGAACUUUCACUGUCUUCUUGGUGAGCACUGUAUAUUUAGCCUUGGGUUUUAUGUUAUUAUCCUGCUGAAAGGUGAAUCCUUCUCCAAGUGUCUGGUGGAAAGCAGACUGAACCAGGUUUUCUAGGAUUUGUGCUUAGCUCCAUUUAGUUUAUUUUUUAUCCCCCCAUUCCUUAACGAUUACAAGAAUACCCAUAACAUGAUGCAGCCAUCACUAUGCUUGAAAAUAUGGAGAGUGGUACUCAGUAAUGUGUUGGAUUGGAUUUGCCCCAAACAAACACUUUGUAUUCAGAACAAAAAGUUAAUUGCUUUGCCACACUAUUUGCAGUAUUACUUUAGUGUGUUGUUGCAAACAGGAUGCAUGUUUAGUAAUAUUUUUAAUCUGAACAUGCUUCCUUCUUUUCACUGUCAAUUAGGUAAAUAUUGUUGAGUAACUGCAAUGUUUUUGAUCUAUCCUCAGUUUUCAUCCAUCACAGCAAUUAAGCUCUGUAACUGUUUAAGUCACCAUUGUCCUUAUGGUGAAAUCCCUGAGCGGUUUCCAUCCUCUCCGACAACUGAGUUAGGAAGCAUGCCUGUAUCUUUGUAGUGACUGGGUAUAUUGAAUCACCAUCCAAAAACGUUAUUAAUAACUUCAGUGCUUGCUUUUUUUUCUUUCUUUUUUACCCAUCUACCAAUAGGUGCCCUUCUUCGCGAGGCACUGGAAAACCUCCCUGGUCUUUGUGGUUGAAAUUCACUGGUCGACUUAUGGACCUUACAUGUGUGGGGUACAGAGUUGAGGUAGUCAUUAAAAAAUCACGUUAAACACUAUUAGUCCAUACAACUCAUGCGACUAAGAAGUUUUACACUCCUGAACUUAUUUAGGCUCGCCCUAACAAAGGGGUUUAAUACUAAUUGACUCAAUAUAUUUCCGCUUUUCAUUUUUUAUUCAUUUGUAAACAAUUCAAAAAACCUAAUUACACUUUGACAUUUUGCGGUAUUCUGUGUAGGCCAGUGAAAAAACAUGACAUUUAUUCAAUUUUAAAUUCAGGCUGUAACAACAAAAUGUGGAAAAAGUCAAGGUGUGUGAAUACAUUCUGAAGGCACUGUAGCUACAAUCUUAUUGCUAAAACAAAUUAUGCAGGGAGUUGGUUUAUCAUUUCAGCUUUUAUUUCUUGGCAAGUAAACAUAUUUCAAUAAAACAGUAGCAAAUA
rnacentral:lncRNA from 1 species